rnacentral:rRNA from 1 species
GGGUUGUGAGGUUAAGCGACUAAGCGUACACGGUGGAUGCCCUGGCAGUCAGAGGCGAUGAAGGACGUGCUAAUCUGCGAUAAGCGCCGGUAAGGUGAUAUGAACCGUUAUAACCGGCGAUUUCCGAAUGGGGAAACCCAGUGUGACUCGUCACACUAUCAUUAACUGAAUCCAUAGGUUAAUGAGGCGAACCGGGGGAACUGAAACAUCUAAGUACCCCGAGGAAAAGAAAUCAACCGAGAUUCCCCCAGUAGCGGCGAGCGAACGGGGAGGAGCCCAGAGCCUGAAUCAGCAUGUGUGUUAGUGGAAGCGUCUGGAAAGGCGCGCGAUACAGGGUGACAGCCCCGUACACAAAAGCGCAUGUGCUGUGAGCUCGAUGAGUAGGGCGGGACACGUGGUAUCCUGUCUGAAUAUGGGGGGACCAUCCUCCAAGGCUAAAUACUCCUGACUGACCGAUAGUGAACCAGUACCGUGAGGGAAAGGCGAAAAGAACCCCGGCGAGGGGAGUGAAAAAGAACCUGAAACCGUGUACGUACAAGCAGUGGGAGCACAGGUUUACCUGUGUGACUGCGUACCUUUUGUAUAAUGGGUCAGCGACUUAUAUUCUGUAGCAAGGUUAACCGAAUAGGGGAGCCGGAGGGAAACCGAGUCUUAAUUGGGCGUUAAGUUGCAGGGUAUAGACCCGAAACCCGGUGAUCUAGCCAUGGGCAGGUUGAAGGUUGGGUAACACUAACUGGAGGACCGAACCGACUAAUGUUGAAAAAUUAGCGGAUGACCUGUGGCUGGGGGUGAAAGGCCAAUCAAACCGGGAGAUAGCUGGUUCUCCCCGAAAGCUAUUUAGGUAGCGCCUCGUGAAUUCAUCUCCGGGGGUAGAGCACUGUUUCGGCUAGGGGGCCAUCCCGGCUUACCAACCCGAUGCAAACUGCGAAUACCGGAGAAUGUUAUCACGGGAGACACACGGCGGGUGCUAACGUCCGUCGUGAAGAGGGAAACAACCCAGACCGCCAGCUAAGGUCCCAAAGUCAUGGUUAAGUGGGAAACGAUGUGGGAAGGCCCAGACAGCCAGGAUGUUGGCUUAGAAGCAGCCAUCAUUUAAAGAAAGCGUAAUAGCUCACUGGUCGAGUCGGCCUGCGCGGAAGAUGUAACGGGGCUAAACCAUGCACCGAAGCUGCGGCAGCGACGCUUAUGCGUUGUUGGGUAGGGGAGCGUUCUGUAAGCCUGUGAAGGUGGCCUGUGAGGGUUGCUGGAGGUAUCAGAAGUGCGAAUGCUGACAUAAGUAACGAUAAAGCGGGUGAAAAGCCCGCUCGCCGGAAGACCAAGGGUUCCUGUCCAACGUUAAUCGGGGCAGGGUGAGUCGACCCCUAAGGCGAGGCCGAAAGGCGUAGUCGAUGGGAAACGGGUUAAUAUUCCCGUACUUGGUGUUACUGCGAAGGGGGGACGGAGAAGGCUAUGUUGGCCGGGCGACGGUUGUCCCGGUUUAAGCGUGUAGGCUGGUUUUCCAGGCAAAUCCGGAAAAUCAAGGCUGAGGCGUGAUGACGAGGCACUACGGUGCUGAAGCAACAAAUGCCCUGCUUCCAGGAAAAGCCUCUAAGCAUCAGGUAACACGAAAUCGUACCCCAAACCGACACAGGUGGUCAGGUAGAGAAUACCAAGGCGCUUGAGAGAACUCGGGUGAAGGAACUAGGCAAAAUGGUGCCGUAACUUCGGGAGAAGGCACGCUGACACGUAGGUGAAGUGAUUUACUCAUGGAGCUGAAGUCAGUCGAAGAUACCAGCUGGCUGCAACUGUUUAUUAAAAACACAGCACUGUGCAAACACGAAAGUGGACGUAUACGGUGUGACGCCUGCCCGGUGCCGGAAGGUUAAUUGAUGGGGUCAGCGCAAGCGAAGCUCCUGAUCGAAGCCCCGGUAAACGGCGGCCGUAACUAUAACGGUCCUAAGGUAGCGAAAUUCCUUGUCGGGUAAGUUCCGACCUGCACGAAUGGCGUAAUGAUGGCCAGGCUGUCUCCACCCGAGACUCAGUGAAAUUGAACUCGCUGUGAAGAUGCAGUGUACCCGCGGCAAGACGGAAAGACCCCGUGAACCUUUACUAUAGCUUGACACUGAACAUUGAGCCUUGAUGUGUAGGAUAGGUGGGAGGCUUUGAAGCGUGGACGCCAGUCUGCGUGGAGCCGACCUUGAAAUACCACCCUUUAAUGUUUGAUGUUCUAACGUGGACCCGUAAUCCGGGUUGCGGACAGUGUCUGGUGGGUAGUUUGACUGGGGCGGUCUCCUCCUAAAGAGUAACGGAGGAGCACGAAGGUUGGCUAAUCCUGGUCGGACAUCAGGAGGUUAGUGCAAUGGCAUAAGCCAGCUUGACUGCGAGCGUGACGGCGCGAGCAGGUGCGAAAGCAGGUCAUAGUGAUCCGGUGGUUCUGAAUGGAAGGGCCAUCGCUCAACGGAUAAAAGGUACUCCGGGGAUAACAGGCUGAUACCGCCCAAGAGUUCAUAUCGACGGCGGUGUUUGGCACCUCGAUGUCGGCUCAUCACAUCCUGGGGCUGAAGUAGGUCCCAAGGGUAUGGCUGUUCGCCAUUUAAAGUGGUACGCGAGCUGGGUUUAGAACGUCGUGAGACAGUUCGGUCCCUAUCUGCCGUGGGCGCUGGAGAACUGAGGGGGGCUGCUCCUAGUACGAGAGGACCGGAGUGGACGCAUCACUGGUGUUCGGGUUGUCAUGCCAAUGGCACUGCCCGGUAGCUAAAUGCGGAAGAGAUAAGUGCUGAAAGCAUCUAAGCACGAAACUUGCCCCGAGAUGAGUUCUCCCUGAGACUUAGAGUCUCCUGAAGGAACGUUGAAGACGACGACGUUGAUAGGCCGGGUGUGUAAGCGCAGCGAUGCGUUGAGCUAACCGGUACUAAUGAACCGUGAGGCUUAACCUUACAACGCCGAAGCUGUU